rnacentral:rRNA from 1 species
UACGUAGGGGGCAAGCGUUGUCCGGAUUUACUGGGCGUAAAGGGCGCGUAGGCGGUCAGCACAAGUCAGUUGUGAAAUCUCCGGGCUUAACUCGGAAAGGUCAACUGAUACUGUGCGGCUAGAGUGCAGAAGGGGCAACUGGAAUUCUCGGUGUAGCGGUGAAAUGCGUAGAUAUCGAGAGGAACACCUGCGGCGAAGCGGGUUGCUGGGCUGACACUGACGCUGAUGCGCGAAAGCCAGGGAGCGAACGGG